rfam:Dipodomys ordii contig_9102, whole genome shotgun sequence.
GGGAAUGUGGCUUAGCGGUAGAGUGUUUGCCUAGUAUGCAUGAAGCCCUAGGUUUGAUUCCUCAGUACCA